UGCGGAUCCAUGGGUCCCAGAUCCAUGGGUCCCAGAUCUAUGGGUCGCGGAUCCAUGGGUCCCAGAUCCAUGGGUCGUGGAUCGAUGGGUCCCAGAUCCAUGGGUCCCAGAUCUAUGGGUCAUGGAUCUAUGGGUCCCAGAUCCACGGGUCGCGGCCCUAUGGGUCGCGGCUCCAUGGGUCGGGGCUGCCCGUGCCCCUGACGUGUGGGUCGGCCGUGGGUCCCAGGGAGAACUCGGCGGCGCACGCCCAGCGCCUGGGGGAGGUGGCGGCCGCCAUCGCGGGCAGCGGCACCUACGUCCUGCGGGGGCCGGAGCUGGUGUUCGGGGCUCGAACGGCCUGGAGGAACGCGGGGCGCUGCGUGGGGCGCAUCCAGUGGAACAAGCUGCAGGUGUUCGACGCCCGGGACUGCACCAACGUGGGGCAGAUGUUCGGGUUCCUCUGCUCCCAC
rnacentral:lncRNA from 1 species